GCACGAAUAGUUUAAGGGUAGAAUUCGGGCUUCCCAUGCCCGAGGCCCGCGUUCGAGUCGCGGUUCGUGCA
rfam:Capronia coronata CBS 617.96 acBCG-supercont1.8, whole genome shotgun sequence.